rnacentral:rRNA from 1 species
GAUGAACGCYGGCGGCGUGCUUAACACAUGCAAGUCGAACGAAGCACUUAAAUGGAAUUCUUCGGAAGGAAGCUUAAGUGACUGAGUGGCGGACGGGUGAGUAACGCGUGGGUAACCUGCCUCAUACAGGGGGAUAACAGUUAGAAAUGACUGCUAAUACCGCAUAAGCACACGUGAUCGCAUGAUCAAGUGUGAAAAACUCCGGUGGUAUGAGAUGGACCCGCGUCUGAUUAGCUGGUUGGUGGGGUAACGGCCUACCAAGGCGACGAUCAGUAGCCGGCCUGAGAGGGUGACCGGCCACAUUGGGACUGAGACACGGCCCAAACUCCUACGGGAGGCAGCAGUGGGGAAUAUUGCACAAUGGGGGAAACCCKGAUGCAGCGACGCCGCGUGAAGGAUGAAGUAUUUCGGUAUGUAAACUUCUAUCAG